GCACAAUGGACGAAAGUCUGAUGCAGCAACGCCGCGUGUGCGAUGAAGGCCUUCGGGUUGUAAAGCACUUUUAUGAGGGAAGAGCAAGGACUGUACCUCAUGAAUAAGGAUCGGCUAACUACGUGCCAGCAGCCGCGGUAACACGUAGGAUCCGAGCGUUAUCCGGAUUUACUGGGCGUAAAGCGCGUGUAGGUGGUUUGCUAAGUUGGGUGUUAAAUCUCUCGGCUCAACUGGGAGGUGUCGCUCAAAACUAGCAGACUGGAGGAUGGUAGAGGAAGGCGGAAUUCCGGGUGUAGUGGUGAAAUGCGUAGAUAUCCGGAGGAACACCAGUGGCGAAGGCGGCCUUCUGGACCAUUCCUGACACUCCAACGCGAAAGCUAGGGGAGCAAACGGGAUUAGAAACCCCGGUAGUCCUAGCUGUAAACGAUGUGAACUUGGUGUUGGCGGGGUAAAACCUGUCGGUGCCGCAGCAAACGCGAUAAGUUCACCGCCUGGGGACUACGGCCGCAAGGUUA
rnacentral:rRNA from 1 species